CAGGCAAUACCCCACCUUCUUCUCAUAAGAGGCAUAUAGCCAACACCCCAUCAUACUGGUAAUCAGGGCCCUGGAUAAUGUGGGGUUUGUUUGCUGCUAAUAUAGCCAUUGUAUCUACCCUAGCUGCAGAGCCCUGCUCCUGAACUGAGGCACCAGGACUGCAAGUUACAGCUCUGCUGGCUGAGAGCUUUCUGAAUGGGAACACAGAGCAACCCUCCCUGUCUCUACACAUUCUAGCUCAGCAACGUGUGCUACACCCAUUCAUCUGAACGCAGAAAUAGCUCUGAAACUCAUGAUAAGGCCUUAAAUGCCAUCACACAGCUCAUUUAUUUCCCCACUGUCCCGAAGUGCUUCCCAGGUGCUGAAAUCCUGGCUGCCAAAACCUCCAUAGCCUCUGCCGACAACCUCAGUGACAUAGCUCUGCGUUGCAGCACCUUCCCUGCUGCUGCGGGCAGGGUGCUGCCAGAGGCUGUGCGUUCAGCCACAAGACGCCAGGAGCACUGAGGGUGGUCGCUGUGCCUGGCACGCAGCUGGGGAACCGAGGCCCCUAAGGGACGUGCCAUGUCCCCACACAGAGGGGAAGCGUGUGCCAGAGCAGCAGCAGCAGCCGGUGCCUCUCUUUUUCCAUGCGUCUGUCCCCUCCUCAAAGCAAUUUAGCAAUUUUCUUCGCCUUGAUGCCAGUGGCAUUACAUAAGUGUAACCUGGUUGUGAGAUCACGAUACGACACGUCGAUUAGCCAGGGAGGCACAAGGUCAUAACCAGCCUGAGGAAGGAGAGGCAGGCUGUGCAUACACACAAACACACCUAGGUGGAUGUAUAUAAACACACGUGGGCCCCUGGUGUUCCCAUCGCAGAUGUGCUGUGCGUGGCACAUGUCAGCCGGGGCAGGCUAUCGACCGCUGCCUGUGUUUCUGCAUCAGAACCUUUCGGUUUUCCCUUUCAGGCUUGGAGUUACUUCUCUUUUACAUAAAUAGCACCACUCGAGGCUGCCUUCCCGAUAGGUGGAAUAGUUUCCCCUUGAGAAGGAACUGGUGGAAAUCCCCUCUCUUGAGACAUUUUAACUCUGCCAAAAAAUGUACAAUGGGAGUGACUGCUUUAACUAGCAAGCUGACUUUGGAUGAGCUAAUGGAUUUUUCCAUCACUAGUGUCUAGUUCCAGGGAUUUCCAUGAAUUGCUGUCAGGACAGAAGAAGGCAACAGAUUGCAACUGCGGGAUCUGCUGUUUCAGCUCCACUGACACGUCAUUCCCUCAGGACACCCAGUGACCUGGUUAAUCUAGUUCCUUGCUUCUGACUUCUCCUCGUAAAUGAUUUAUCAACUGGCGUGGAUCCCUGUUUGCUUAAGGAGGCGUGUGACGACCUCUCGCAGGCUGGCUGCACAGAGCCACGGCUGUGUUUGGCAGCCGGCUGCCGGCCGCAGCUCGUGACCCUUGGCUGGGGGAGCAGGGGAUGGGCAGCAGAGCCCGGUGGGUGAUGUUUAUGAGGCUGGCCGGAGGGCGCUGGUGACCAAGCUGCAGGCUCGGCAGUGGGAGCACUCGCCUAGGACCUGCCUCAGCCCACUCUGACCCCCAGGCGAGGCAGCAUCCGUGGGGUGACAUCAGUGUCACGUCUGAAGCAGAUGCAGCUCUGGAAGUCUUCACGUGCACACGUAGUAGCAGGAAGGCCAGAUUGCUUCUCUGACAGCUCCGUGACCUGACAGCUGCCCACAGUCUGAGCAGUGCUGCUCCUGACCAGGAGAGCCAACCUGCUGCGAGCUGCUGCAGCUCAGUGCACGAGUGCUGGGGGAACAUCCAGCUCGCAGGACGGCUAUUCACUAAGGGCCCCAACAGGACAUCCUUCCUGUAUUAGUAUUGCCUCCCUGAACUAUCAAUUAAAAAGAACGCCACAAUUCUGUACCCUGUGGAUGCCGCCUGCCUUCUGUGCGCGCACAAAUCCCGCUACGAGAGGUACUGUAAGUACUGAGGUGUUAAAGACGCCAGAGGGUGCCCAGUGGGAUUUCAGAAGAGCAGCGGUCCCGACUGCUUUGGAUGUCAGCGCAGGUCGGACGUGUGAGCCCCAGGCCCCGCCUGUAGGGCCCCACCACCUUUGGAAUCUGGUUCCCUCAGCUCCCUCUGUGAAUACGGCAGUUAGCUCCCAGGGUAUUGCGAGGAUGGAAAAAGUAAAGACUAUGAGUUCUCAGGAAAUAUUGAAACGGGGUCAACUGAGUAACAUUUAAGUCAAUUAGAAAGACGGUCUGUUAACAGUCUGUUAAUAGCUGGCUGAGAUGGAUUCCCAUGAUUCCCGGUGCCAGCAUCUCCGCUCACACAAGGAAAUAUUUAUGACUCUUCUCCCUCAAAAGCCCGGUUAACCUCAUUUAAAGCAGAGAGCACGAAGAUAGAUCUAUCAACAUUAGGGACAUCAACUCUCCCUUUUUGUCCCCACGAUUACAAGAGAAAAGGAGAAUUCAAACCUUAAAGUGGGAAGUGAAUUACGCAGAGUGGCCGCAGAUGGGAGCCAUUAAAUGCCCGGCUGCGUUUUUUUAAUUGAAACAAUACAGCAAUUUACUAUACAAAUAGCUCUGGCAGAGCGCUGCUCUGGUGCUGUGGAAGCUGCCCGCCCCGCGUCCCACGGGUCACACACGGCAGCACGGCGCGGACCUCCCGCUCCCAGCACAGCCGCCGGCACCCGGGGCGAGGCGCACCCCUGGGCACAGCACCGCGGCUCCGCCUCGCUUUCCAGACGACUCCAGGAACGUCAGGACGAGCUCCCAGCGGCAGCUCCCGGCCCAUUACCAAAUACAGAGUCCAGAGGGAAGCGAGUCCUCGCUCCUCCUUUUGGGCGAGGCGAAGGGGAAAAAACAAAGCCGGAUGGGUCCCACUGUCAUCUUGACUGCCCGCGGGUUUUGGUCUGAGCUCCCGAAGCUUUAGGCCUGCCUGUAAGUCCAGCUUUGAAAGGGAAGGCGUUUAUUUUCAGUUUUCUGACGAGUGAGUAAUGGGGCUGCCAUCUAGAGGCCACUGCAACUUUCCAGCACAUUCCUUCGGACAGGAGUGGCAUUGUCAAUAACCUCCUCCUCCCACUACCUCCUCAUGAAGGACUUCUCGCUUCUAAAUGAAACUGUUACAGUACAAAGCACUUCUCCAUCCACAUCCCUGCCCACGGCGGCGGGCUGGAACUGGGUGAUCUUUAGCGUCCCCUCCAACCUGAGCCAUUCUAUGAUUGUGUCAUCUCUCAUUCAACGAUUGCAAAUUCUGCCUCAAUCAAUCCGGCUUAAGAAGGAGCUCUACUGAUAGGUAAUCUGUGUAUCCACUGCAGGAAUGGGAUGCUGGGAGUGCUGGCUCUAUGAGUCUCAGCUCCAUCCUUCCAUCCUGUCCCUGAGCUGAACAGCACCAGCCAAACUGGGCCAAACUCAGCGGGAUCCACUUUAGACCCUGCCUUGCAUAGAAAUCAGCUGCUGCAAAUGUGAACAGGAGGCAGAUACAGGGCAGCCAUGGCCACCCACCACUCACCACGUGAGCUGCCUGCUCACUUGUGCUAAACCCUGUGCCCAAGUGGAGCGGCCCGGCAGGCUGCAGGGCAGCAGGGAGUGAGGGCCGCACUGUGCUGCGCAGGCCUGGCAGCAGAGGAACCCCACUCCAGUGCUUUGCAGAGCACUUCAAAUUUGCUUGCAGACUGCCUGCCUCGCACCCCGCACCCACCAAUUGCAAAAUCCCCUGUUGAUAUGACUAAGAGUCACGCUCUGCAGCCUCAGCUUUGGGUUCUACCUCUCUCGGUCCUGAAAUGGGGACAGGGAAGUGCCAGAUGCUUUCUGUUCUCCUUGCUCAGGACUCUGCGACCAUGGGUGUUUUUGAGUCAGCGGUGCUCAAGGGACCUUUCAGUCAGCAUAACUGCGUGAGUGGCCAAAUAAAAACAGGCCCAAACGCCAAUGGGGCUCUGCUUACAUCAAGGAAAGGGGAAGCAGCUCUUCUACAGCGAGCGCUAGCGAAGUUCUGCAAGAGGCGGCUAAAAAUAGGGCUGCCCUCUACAACACUUCCGUCCUGCCUUUGACACGCUCGCGGCUUUCAUGUCCCAUCGGCCCCGCCAUUUCCUCGCCCCACACUCGGCAUCGCCCCACAGCCCUUCCUGUCCGCGCGGGGCUUUGAAGCAUGGGCAGCUCCCUCACGCCAGAUGGCAGAGGGCACUUCCUCUGCUUUCUUCACUCUUUUUGAGUGCUUUGGUCACAAGUGAGAAGUGGGGCGGGUCCCGGUGAAGGUCUCGCCCCAAGAAGACGCUGGAAGACCCAGAGGUGACCAAGACAAGGAAGGCGUUCCACAGUGGAGUGUUUUCAAGGGUGUUUUCCUCGGUAAAUGAAAUGAUGGGAAGUGUUUCUGUCGAUACCUCCAGGACAACAUUCCCAAGUAUUGGCUUUCAGUUUUGGCAUUUGUUCCUGGAGGAUCGGGGGCUGGAAAUGGCACAGACCUGCUUCUCGGAAUUAGCAGGAAAACAAAGGAGCAAUGUGCAGGAGGGGAUGUGAAGGGGCCGAUGCCUGUCAGCAGGCAGUGACACCGCACGGCUGGCAGAUGAUGGCCCAUGGAAGAUGGCAGCACAGCAGCAGCAGCGUGCCAUCAGAGCAGCAGAGCCCUGGUUCUGCCUGCAUGUCUGUGAGAAGAGGCACGGGACAGAGCUCAAUGUGGGCGGGCUGUUAGGCUGAGGAAAAGGCGAUGACUUCUCUUAACCUCAGUGAAGCAGACUGUUGAGAAGGCCUGUGCAUUUGCCCAGGGUUUUCCAGAUGCUGAGUAAAUAAAAUCUCUGAGAAGCUGGA
ensembl:lncRNA